rnacentral:rRNA from 1 species
CCUACGGGAGGCAGCAGUGGGGAAUAUUGGGCAAUGGGCGCAAGCCUGACCCAGCAACGCCGCGUGAAGGAAGAAGGCUUUCGGGUUGUAAACUUCUUUUAUCAGGGACGUAGAAAGUGACGGUACCUGAUGAAUAAGCCACGGCUAACUACGUGCCAGCAGCCGCGGUAAUACGUAGGUGGCAAGCGUUAUCCGGAUUUACUGGGUGUAAAGGGCGUGUAGGCGGGAAAGCAAGUCAGAUGUGAAAACCAUGGGCUCAACCUGUGGCCUGCAUUUGAAACUGUUUUUCUUGAGUACUGGAGAGGCAGACGGAAUUCCUAGUGUAGCGGUGAAAUGCGUAGAUAUUAGGAAGAACACCAGUGGCGAAGGCAGUCUGCUGGACAGCAACUGACGCUGAGGCGCGAAAGCGUGGGGAGCAAACAGGAUUAGAUACCCCUGUAGUC